GGUGGCUCAGUGGUUGAGCGCAUGCCUUGCAUGCAUGAGGCCCUGAGUUCAAUUCCUCAGCACCA
rfam:Dipodomys ordii contig_19184, whole genome shotgun sequence.